UUGAAAUACUGGUUCUCGUAUGAACACGGAAGUUAAGCAAGGUCGAAUAUGGUCAAUACCUAAAUGGGUGACCACUUCGGAAAACCGGGUGCCGUAAG